UUAAAUUGAAGAGUUUGAUCAUGGCUCAGAUUGAACGCUGGCGGCAGGCCUAACACAUGCAAGUCGAACGGUAACAGGAAGAAGCUUGCUUCUUUGCUGACGAGUGGCGGACGGGUGAGUAAUGUCUGGGAAACUGCCUGAUGGAGGGGGAUAACUACUGGAAACGGUAGCUAAUACCGCAUAACGUCGCAAGACCAAAGA
rnacentral:rRNA from 1 species